AGCUCCAAUAGCGUAUAUUAAAGUUGUUGCAGUUAAAAAGCUCGUAGUUGGAUUUCUGGUGGGAGCAGUCGGUCCUUGAUUAAUUUCUUGGAACCUGAUUGUCUCCUGCCAUCCAUGGAGAAAACUAGUCUGGCAUUAAGUUGUCGGGUUGGCAAUCUCCAUCUUUUACUGUGAAAAAAUUAGAGUGUUCAAAGCAGGCUUAUGCCGUUGAAUAUAUUAGCAUGGAAUAAUAAGAUAGGACUAUGGUACUAUUUUGUUGGUUUGUGCACCAUGGUAAUGAUUAAUAGGGACAGUUGGGGGUAUUCGUAUUCCAUUGUCAGAGGUGAAAUUCUUGGAUUUAUGGAAGACGAACUACUGCGAAAGCAUUUACCAAGGAUGUUUUCAUUAAUCAAGAACGAAA
rnacentral:rRNA from 1 species